UUGGAGGGCAAGUCUGGUGCCAGCAGCCGCGGUAAUUCCAGCUCCAAUAGCGUAUAUUAAAGUUGUUGCAGUUAAAAAGUUCGUAGUUGAAUUUCGGGAUCAGUUGGUCGGUCGUGCCUCGGUACGUACUGGUCAAAUUGAUUCCUACCUUCUGACGAACCACGAUGUCAUUAAUUUGGUGUCGCGGGAAAUCAGGACUGUUACUUUGAAAAAAUUAGAGUGUUUAAAGCAGGCUCGCGCUUGAAUACAUUAGCAUGGAAUAAUGAAAUAGGACGUUUGAUUCUAUUUUGUUGGUUUCUAGGAUCGACGUAAUGAUUAAUAGGGAUAGUUGGGGGCAUUAGUAUUCAAUUGUCAGAGGUGAAAUUCUUGGAUUUAUUGAAGACUAACUACUGCGAAAGCAUUUGCCAAGGAUGUUUUCAUUAAUCAAGAACGAAAGUUAGGGGAUCGAAGACGAUCAGAUACCGUCGUAGUCUUAACCAUAAACUAUGCCGACUAGGGAUCGGAUGAUGUUAAUUUUUUAAUGACACAUUCGGCGCCUUACGGGAAACCAAAGUGUUUGGGUUC
rnacentral:rRNA from 1 species